rnacentral:tRNA from 1 species
GGGGAUUUAGCUCAGAGGUAGAGCGCUUGCCUAGGAAGCGCAAGGCCCUGGGUUCGAUCCCCAGCUCCG